rnacentral:rRNA from 1 species
AGUGAACGCUGGCGGUAGGCCUAACACAUGCAAGUCGAACGGCAGCACAGUAAGAGCUUGCUCUUACGGGUGGCGAGUGGCGGACGGGUGAGGAAUACAUCGGAAUCUACUUUUUCGUGGGGGAUAACGUAGGGAAACUUACGCUAAUACCGCAUACGACCAACGGGUGAAAGCAGGGGAUCUUCGGACCUUGCGCGAUUGAAUGAGCCGAUGUCGGAUUAGCUAGUUGGCGGGGUAAAGGCCCACCAAGGCAACGAUCCGUAGCUGGUCUGAGAGGAUGAUCAGCCACACUGGAACUGAGACACGGUCCAGACUCCUACGGGAGGCAGCAGUGGGGAAUAUUGGACAAUGGGCGCAAGCCUGAUCCAGCCAUACCGCGUGGGUGAAGAAGGCCUUCGGGUUGUAAAGCCCUUUUGUUGGGAAAGAAAAGCAGCAGGUUAAUACCCCGCUGUUCUGACGGUACCCAAAGAAUAAGCACCGGCUAACUUCGUG